CACUUUUAUAGGAGUUAAGGCAGAUGUGGAGGCGCAACGGGUGAUACCAGACACACACCAAGCACAUUAUGUUUGGACAUUCAAUCAUGACAUGAUCCAGGUGGAUGCUGUCCAUUGAGGAAAGAGUUUGUUUAGCGGUUUCUGGAUAGAAUUAAUUCCAAAGAUGGGAAAAAGUGCACAUCCAGACAAGGAGCAAGCAAAAAGACAAGGAACUUGGUGCAGAGAAAAGCUGUGGCCAUUAACCCCUGUGAACAGCUUCAUGCAGUCGCUGAUUGAGUUCGAAUGGACGACUUCAGUAAAGGCCACUGUGGUCUGUCUGCCACAGUUUAAUUUUUAAUUUAUUUUUAGUGUUCAAUGAAAUUCAAGUAGAAUAUUUAAAACUAUGGGCCAGUGUUGUUUUUACCACGGUGAAAUGUUACCUUUUAGUCGAUGAUGGACUUUAAACUGAAAACUUCAAACUAUGGAACAGUGUUCUAUUUGCCAGAGUUAAAUAUGUUACAGCAGGGGUCUCCAAACUUGUUUAUACUUGUUGAUUUUAUUUUAUGUUACUUGAUUAUAUGUUUAUUAUUGUUUAAAAUCUUGUUUUAAAUAUGUUUGUUUCAAUUAAAUGUUUUUUUUAAUAAAAUUUUGAUACAAACAUUGCUUGGAUUGCCUUUUAAUUCAUUAUGUUUUAAUUUAGCAUUUUUACCAUAUUAAUAACUAUAGAUUUAAACCUAAAUCUCUAGCUAUUUUAUAUAAUAUUAUUGUAUUAACUGUAAUAAGUAAUAAAUAGUAUUUAUGGGUCAAUAUAGACAUUACAGUAAAUUACUGUAAAAAUAGACUACUGUAAUAAAAUAUUGUAAAAUUACAGUACAGUACUGCUUUGUAACUAUACAGUACUAGUUUGUGUACUGUAAAAUGGUAUUACAGUACAGUACUGUAAAACCAAAAU